ACGUUUAUAAAAUCGUGGAGCAAAAUGUCGUUAAGUGUGUCAUAAUAAAAAUAUCGACGCUUUAAUAUAAUAUCGAAAAAAUUUUAUCAGUAUUUAAUAAAAAUAUGUUUAUUGGCAAUGCUUAAUCACACAUGUCAAAUAUGGAAGAUGUUAGAAUAGAGUGUUGUCUAAAAAAUAUCGUUUAAACAUAUUUUAUUGUAGUUAACUGUUACUGGAGAAACUGUAUGAUGUGGUUCAACUGGAGUAGCAGUUGAAAUUACACCUAAAUUAACAACAAUUUCAACUACAACAGCGGAAAAGAGUAAAUUUAAAAAAAAAAAUUAAACUUACCUUCCUAAAUUAGAGAUGAUCUUAUCAUAAUAUAUUAUAAACUGAAAAAAAUUGAAAAUACACUUCUCUACAUGUAACAAAAUAAAUUAUUUAUAAAUCUAAAAUUUUUUUAUUAUAUCUAAUCAAAUAAAAUAAUUAUAAUUAUAAUAUUAUAUUUUUAACUAUAUUGUAUUUUUAAUUACAUCUAAUCAAACAGAACGGUCGUAUUUUUAGCCAGGUAUACAUU
rnacentral:lncRNA from 1 species